AUAAAUAUGUCUGCUUUUCCUUUGCUUGUUGUACUCUCAUGGCAAGACUGCUGGUGAGUGUAACCUUUCUGCAAGAAGUAAAAAUUGCCUUGAUGAGAGAUCCUUUGUCCCAGUGCUGACUUUUCUUUGCGGCACUGAAAAUUUACAUGUAACAUAAAUCAGCUCCCUGGGUAC